UACGUAGGGUGCAAGCGUUAAUCGGAAUUACUGGGCGUAAAGCGCGCGCAGGUGGCUUGCUAAGUCGGACGGUGAAAUCUCCCGGCCUAACUGGGAGGGGUCGUCCGAGACUGGCCGGCUUGAGGCUGGCAGAGGUAGGUGGAAUUCCUGGUGUAGUGGUGAAAUGCGUUGAUAUCGUACAGGAACUCCGGUGGCGAAAGCGGCGUGCUGGACCUUUUCUGACGCGUGAGGCGCGAAAGCUAGGGGAGCAAACGGG
rnacentral:rRNA from 1 species